CUCAGAUUGAACGCUGGCGGCAGGCCUAACACAUGCAAGUCGAGCGGUAACAGAAAUUAGCUUGCUAAUUUGCUGACGAGCGGCGGACGGGUGAGUAAUGCCUGGGAAUAUGCCUUAGUGUGGGGGAUAACUAUUGGAAACGAUAGCUAAUACCGCAUAAUGUCUUCGGACCAAAGAGGGGGAUCUUCGGACCUCUCGCGCUAAGAUUAGCCCAGGUGAGAUUAGCUUGUUGGUGAGGUAAGAGCUCACCAAGGCGACGAUCUCUAGCUGGUCUGAGAGGAUGAUCAGCCACACUGGAACUGAGACACGGUCCAGACUCCUACGGGAGGCAGCAGUGGGGAAUAUUGCACAAUGGGCGCAAGCCUGAUGCAGCCAUGCCGCGUGUGUGAAGAAGGCCUUCGGGUUGUAAAGCACUUUCAGUCAGGAGGAAAGGUUAGUAGUUAAUACCUGCUAGCUGUGACGUUAU
rnacentral:rRNA from 1 species